rnacentral:rRNA from 1 species
AUGCUUCACCUUUUUAAUAUCUUUCGUGGGUAUGAUGGAAAGGAUAAUUGUGCUCAAGUGCUAGAAGAAGAAAUCUAUAAAAUGUUUGGCACUAAAUAUUUGAUUGAUGAGAAUGAUUGCAAUGUUGUUAGUAUGAAUUCCUUGAAUAUCUAUGAUGCUAAUGAUAUGCAAAGCCACAAGCUUGGGGAAGCUAUGUUUGAUGAAGAUGAUAUUUUUUGUCCCCUAAGUUUUGAUGAGCAAAUUUAUUAUGAUGAAAGCAUGCCACCUAUCUAUGAUAAUUAUUGUGAUGACACAUAUGCUUUAAAGAAGUAUUAUAUCCAUGAAAAUUGUCAUCAUGAUUUUAACUUUCAAUUGGAUUAUGCCUCACAUGAUAGUUACUUUGUUGAGUUUGCUCCCACUACUAUUCAUGAGAAGAAUUUUGCUUGUGUGGAGAGUAGUAAAUUUUCUAUGCUUGUAGAUCAUGAAAGGAAUGCUUUAGGUGCUGGUUAUAUUGUUGAAUUAAUUCAUGAUGCUACUGAAAAUUAUUAUGAGGGAGGAACAUAUGCUUGUAGGAAUUGCAAUAAUAACAAGUUUCCUCUCUAUGUGCUUAAAGUUUUGAAGUUAUGCUUGUUUUACCUUCCUAUGAAAGUUGAUUCUUGUUCCAACAAGUUGUUUGCUCACAAAAUCCAUAUGCAUAGGAAGAGGGUUAGACUUAAAUGUUCUAGUCAUAUUCUUCAUGAUGCUCUCUUUAUGUUACAAUUCUUAUCCUUUAUGUGA